rnacentral:rRNA from 1 species
CAAGGAAUAUUGCACAAUGGGGGGAACCCUGAUGCAGCAACGCCGCGUGGGCGAUGAAGGCCUUCGGGUUGUAAAGCCCUUUUCUAGAGGAAGAGACAAGGACGGUACUUUAGGAAUAAGUCUCGGCUAACUACGUGCCGGCAGCCGCGGUAAAACGUAGGAGACGAGCGUUAUCCGGAUUUACUGGGCGUAAAGGGCAAGUAGGCGGUAAGCAAAGUUGGGCGUGACAUCUCUCGGCUUAACUGGGAGGGGUCGUCCAAAACUAGCUAACUAGAGGGCAGGAGAGGGGAGUGGAAUUCCUAGUGUAGCGGUGGAAUGCUUAGAUAUUAGGAAGAACACCAGUGGCGAAGGCGACUCUCUGGCCUGACCCUGACGCUGAGAGGCGAAAGCUAGGGGAGCGAACGG